GCAGGGGUAGCGAAGUGGUCAAACGCGAUAGUAUCAUUGAGCGCUGAUUUGAUGAUGUCGAAGCUCAAGAUUGACCAUGGGAAACCUAUUCCCUUAGACUUUAAUUAGGAGGAUUGGGUUCGAGAGUUCGAAUCUCUUCCCCUGCA
rnacentral:tRNA from 1 species